rnacentral:rRNA from 1 species
AGCGAACGCUGGCGGCAGGCUUAACACAUGCAAGUCGAGCGGGCGUAGCAAUACGUCAGCGGCAGACGGGUGAGUAACGCGUGGGAACGUACCUUUUGGUUCGGAACAACACAGGGAAACUUCUGCUAAUACCGGAUAAGCCCUUACGGGGAAAGAUUUAUCGCAGAAAGAUCGGCCAGCGUCUGAUUAGCUAGUUGGUAGGGUAAUGGCCUACCGAGGCGACGAUCAGUAGCUGGUCUGAGAGGAUGAUCAGCCACAUUGGGACUGAGACACGGCCCACACUCCUACGGGAGGCGGCAGUGGGGAAGAUUGGACAAUGGGGGCAACCCUGGUCCAGCCAUGCCGCGUGAGUGAUGAAGGCCCUAGGGUUGUAAAGCUCUGUUGUGCGGGAAGAUAAUGACGGUACCGCAAGAAUAAGCCCCGGCUAACGUCGUGCCAGCAGCCGCGGUAACAC